UACGAAGGGGGCUAGCGUUGCUCGGAAUCACUGGGCGUAAAGAGCUCGUAGGCGGUUUGUCACGUCUGCUGUGAAAACUGGAGGCUCAACCUCCAGCCUGCAGUGGGUACGGGCAGACUAGAGUGCGGUAGGGGAGAUUGGAAUCCUGGUGUAGCGGUGGAAUGCGCAGAUAUCAGGAGGAACACCAAUGGCGAAGGCAGAUCUCUGGGCCGUAACUGACGCUGAGGAGCGGAAAGCAUGGGGAGCGAACAGG
rnacentral:rRNA from 1 species